rnacentral:rRNA from 1 species
ACGCUCGACACCUACGGGAAGCAGCAGUCGGGAAUAUUGCGCAAUGGAGGAAACUCUGACGCAGUGACGCCGCGUGCAGGAAGAAGGUUUUCGGAUUGUAAACUGCUUUAGACAGGGAAGAAAAAGGACAGUACCUGUAGAAUAAGCUCCGGCUAACUACGUGCCAGCAGCCGACGGUAAUCUGAGGCGGGCUGGCAAGGC